CAGUCGCCGCGGGAAUACGGAGGGUGCAAGCGUUAAUCGGAAUUACUGGGCGUAAAGCGCACGCAGGCGGUCUGACAAGUCAGAUGUGAAAUCCCCGGGCUUAACCUGGGAACUGCAUUUGAAACUGUCAGGCUGGAGUCUUGUAGAGGGGGGUGGAAUUCCAGGUGUAGCGGUGAAAUGCGUAGAGAUCUGGAGGAAUACCGGUGGCGAAGGCGGCCCCCUGGACAAAGACUGACGCUCAGGUGCGAAAGCGUGGGGAGCAAACAGGAUUAGAGACCCCAGUAGUCCCGUCUCUUAUACA
rnacentral:rRNA from 1 species